UUGCUUUAGCAGCACAUACAUUAAAAUUGGAAGAAUACGGAGAGGACUAGCACGGCCCCUGCGCAAGGAUGACAGGCAAAUUCGUGAAGUGUCCUGCAUUUUG